AUGUUCAUGGAAAGGAAAGAUGAUUGUGGCAUAUCCCCUGACAAGGGGUUGGAACAACCUUGGGCUUUAUUGUUAAAACAAAAGGUUCAAGCUUCCUGCUUUGUUUGGAACUUACGCAAUUUCUUGU
rnacentral:ncRNA from 1 species